rnacentral:rRNA from 1 species
CUGGAAUGGUUCCUGACUAAAAUCUAUAUGGCCUCUGGAUUGGACUGCGGCCGAUCAGGCUGUUGGUGAGGUAAUGGCCCACCAAACCUGUAACCGGUACGGGCUCUGAGAGGAGGAGCCCGGAGAUGGGCACUGAGACAAGGGCCCAGGCCCUAUGGGGCGCAGCAGGCGCGAAACCUCUGCAAUAGGCGAAAGCCUGACAGGGUUACUCUGAGUGACUUUCGCUAAGAAAGUCUUUUGGCACCUCUAAAAAGGGUGUAGAAUAAGGGGUGGGCAAGUCUGGUGUCAGCCGCCGCGGUAAUACCAGCACCUCGAGUGGUCAGGACGUUUAUUGGGCCUAGAGCAUCCGUAGCCGGCUUUGCAAGUCUUCGGUUAAAUCCACCUGCUCAACAGAUGGGCUGCUGGAGAUACUACAAAGCUAGGGAGUGGGAGAGGCAGACGGUAUUCAGUGGGUAGGGGUAAAAUCCUCUGAUCCAUCGAGGACCACCAGUGGCGAAGGCGGUCUGCCAGAACACGUUCGACGGUGAGGGAUGAAAGCUGGGGGAGCAAACCGGAUUAGAUACCCGGGUAGUCCCAGCUGUAAACGAUGCAGACUCGGUGAUGAAUUGGCUUUAUGCCAAUUCAGUGCCGCAGGGAAGCCGUUAAGUUUGCCGCCUGGGGAGUACGGUCGCAAGACUGAAACUUAAAGGAAUUGGCGGGGGAGCACCACAAGGGGUGAAGCCUGCGGUUCAAUUGGACUCAACGCCGGA